GAGCAUUUUGGGUGGCGGCUGUCGCGGAGUGUUCGGAGAUGGAGCAUACAUCUGGCACCACUGCUGCCUCCGAGGUGACUCCGGUUCUUCUUGAAACAGGUCUUCAACACUGCCGCCGUUGCACCCACCGCCCUCGGGAAUCUAUCCCACCCUUUUCUCCCUAGGGUUGGGACGUCGGAGAUGGAGUGAAGCGAGGUGGGACGAAAGCUGAUAGGUCCGUUACACGUACUGGAGAAC
rnacentral:lncRNA from 1 species